GUGCUUGUAGUCUAGUGGUAGGAUGAAAGCUUCCCAAGCUUCUGACCCGGGUUCGAAUCCCGACAAGCGCA
rnacentral:tRNA from 1 species